rnacentral:lncRNA from 1 species
UCCGAAGGCACGCGCCGCAAAAGAAGGCAACCUAGGGUUUCUAAGGAUGUCGAAAUCUCCUGCGAAGAAAACGAGAUUCCUCUAUCGUUUCUAGAUCCAGAAAAUAACGAUCCGUUUCAAAACCGUGGGAGGAGAAGCAUAAUGAGGAGGAGUUAGAUCGGCUCAGUUCUCUCCUACGCGUCAGGUUUGGAUAUUCUUUUUCCGCCAAGAUGAGUUAUUUUUUAUGAUUCUCUGCCAGAUCUGUUUAUUCCAUCAUAUGUAACUAUUUUUAUGAUUUGAAAUAUGAAAUCAGUGCUAUCUUUUUAACAAAUUUUAUUGGAUACCGAAGUGGUGUAAGAACGGAUGCCAAAAGUUCGACAUCAUGACUGUUGACUGUUAUGGUUUACUACGCAAAAUUUGGAGAGAAAAGGUGGCGAAUGGGCUUUCUAUCGUCUCUCUCCCAACACCAGCAUAACCCAUGUAUAAUGAUCAAAAGUUGAUAUUAAUCCAGACUACCAUUAUGCCAAUGCUUUUCGAAGAUUAGGCUUGGUUUUGGAGAGUUUUUGAUGAAAUAAAUAAGGCUUAAUAAUAACAUCAUUUCGUAUGGUAGCUUUUGAUGGAAAUUUCUAAUAGUUUCUUGGAAAUAGCCAAACUGCUUCUUGCUGAAAGUAAAGAAUUAACUCAUAUCGAGUUACAAAUUAAGAAUCUAUGUUGGUUUAUAAAUAAUCUUGAUCUUUUCACAAAUCAUUACAAAUGGAAGAAGUUGAUUGAUUGUUAUUGCUAAUUGAAUUAUGAGACAAAAUAAUAAUUUGAUAUUUGUGAAUGCCUAUUUUCUGAAGUGGUGCAUGGUUUGGACAGUUUUAUUCUCUAUGAACCUGCAGAAAGUAGUCAAAACUUAGACUAAGUUCUAGUUGCCUAGAAAUUCUUUGGAUAGGUCUAUAUGGAUCAGAUCAUACAAAAAGACACCCAAUUUGCAGUUCUAGUCGUCUAGGUUUCAAUUAAUUGAUUUUGAGGAAUCAAUGGAUUGGUAUGUCCUCGACAUCUAUGUUUUGAGUUCUUAUCACAUUCUCAUAAAUUAGUUGCUGCUUUUGUACCUUCUAAAGCAUGGGAUUCCAAAACUACUGUAGAAGUCAUGGAUACUCGGAACCAAUAUUCUUAUAUCCAUGGAAAAUGAAAGUCAUUUUAAUUGAGCCCUUGUCAUUAGCCUUUUGCUCUAACACCUUCAUGCACAUGAAGUUCUUGCACUACUAUGAAAAUUCAAUAACGGAGUUUUAUCUUGUAUUUAUUGUCAAACAUCCUUGUGGCAUUUCAGUAUUAGAAGGUGAAAAAAUUGUUACAUCUAGUGCUUAUAUUCAUCUUAGGUCCCAUUUGUGAUGGGCAACAUAAACUAUAUAAAGGAUACUUAAGAUUUUGUUGUAUUUGUAUAGCACUUUUAAAAAACUUUAGUCAUCCUUCUUACUUGCUUUUUUGAUUCGUAAUUUGACAGUUUGUAAAUUUGCUCAUUGUGUUAGUUUACCUGAAAUUUGAGCGUAGUUCAUAGGGAAUAUUGCUUCCUUUUUAGAUUAAUACAUCAUGUACUAAAGUAGGCCCUUAAAUAAGCAUGGAAACAUAUAGAUUUUUUUCUUAUUCUUUCUAAAAUUUUACAUAGUUAUUUCAUAAUUUUAACUUAUCUUUAUCUAACUUUAUGAAUUCUACUUAUCUUCAUCCAUACCAUAUACGAAAUUGAAAAUCUUGAAAUCAUGGAAUGUUCUUUCUUGAUUUAAUCUAUCAUUUUUUUAUACCGAGAAAUCCUCCCACUUAUCUUCAUUGAUUAUCUCGCUCAUUCUCUGUAUGCUAUCACAUGCAUAUGCUGUCUUUACUCCUUUCCCUAUCAAAUUGGACCCCUCUCGCAAAGCUUCCAAAUAGAUGUGGACUCUAUAUCUUGCUUUACACAGAUGAGAUUCUUUGAUUCAAUUCCCAAGCUAAUCGGACUCUCUCUCUCUGAGUCUCUUGUUCGACUUAAAAUGUAUGUGGUCUUCCAACCUCCUUUUCUUUCCCUCAAACAUGCAUUACAAACGUCUGAUUGCUAGUAUUUUUAAAAUACUUGCAUUAGAACCUGCAUAUGCACUUGCGUAAUAUAUAUGCACUAUGAGGUACCUUGACCUCUUGCAUGGAUUAUUUUGGAGAGAAAAUAGUUCAUCUGCCGCUCUUGUCAAGUCCUAACUUGGUCAUUUAAAGAGUUGUUUGAUAAUAAGUCUUGUAUUCAAGCUUGAAGUUUUACAUGCAUGCAAUUAAUGCUGCACCUGCUAUAUUUUGUCCUGUUAUGAACUCAAAUUUAUGAAAUGCAUGCAUUGAUGGAUGAUGAUUAUGACCAAUGGUUUUGACAAACUAAUAAUGUAAUAACAACAUUUGGAUUGAUUUAGGUUGGGUCUGUGGAAAGAUAAAUUUAUAUAAGGCACGCAUUCAUUGUAAAUGAUAUGCAAUUAGUGGAUGCGGCAAACUAGAUGCUCAAAGACCAAAAUUUCUUUUUGUAUAGAUAAUCAUUUGAUGUCUUAGAUAAAACAAAUAACUGAAAUAUAUGCAAUGUGCAGGAUCAGCUAACAUAGAUUGAAAAUAUCACGAUACUCAUCCCAUUUCCACUUUAUUCAGUGGAUAUCAGAUAGGGGUAUGGUGUCAAUUUGAUGCCAAAAUUUGUAUUCAUACUUAUUAUAAAUGGACAUAUUUGUUCAAUAUGGAUGUGGAUAUGAAUAGGAUGCUAGGCAUAUCCUUGUUUAAAGAAAUCUAAAUAUGAAAUGGUUAUUAGUGAAGAAACUUCAAGGAACUAAAGAGCCUUAUUCACUGCUUCAUUAGCAUUUUAGUGUUAAAUUAGCCUGUGAUGAAAAGCUCUAUGCAAAUAAAAUCUGGAGAAAAAAAAUACACUCAUGGAAUCGAUGUGGCCUUGAAGGUUAAUACCAUCUUCGUAUGUAGGUAACUAUGACAUGAGAAAUCUAUGUAAUCAACUCAGCAACAUUUAAGAAACAAACUCAGUAAUCUUUAUGAAAUGAAACUCGAUGGUUUAAAACUGAACCAAGGCAUGGUGUCAUGGAUGAUUAGUAAUGGAUGUAAAUCAUGAUGUGUAGCUGAUUGCUGAAAAAGACAAAAGAUAUUGUUUAAAUAGUAGGGUUAAAAUAUAGAAUGAUGUGCAGUGCAAGACUUGUUUUGGGAUUAAUGCAUGAUAGUUGAUUGCUUUUGCAUGUCACGCCAAAACCGUGCCCACAUCAUUUGUGCAUGUAUCUCAAAGUCCUCACAUCACAUCUAGCUCCAGUGGAAACAAUAUUUGUACUGCGGAUGGAGGUAAAAGAGACAAAUGAAGGUCUUGGAGCUUGCGCGUGGAACUUAGCUGCUAGAACUAGAAGUAGGUGCAAGCAUGGGGAAGUGGACUUUUUGGGACACAUUGCUUAUUGCUGAAAAAAUCCUUUUGCAACUUUUAAACCAGAAAAGUACUUCCUAAAAAAAUAACUUUUUGGUAAUAAUACUUAGAAAUGCUUCUAUAAAUAGAAAAGCCAAAAAAGCAUUGUAAAGUGAAGCUAGAAAAUCUAGAUUUCGGCGUUUUCUUUUGUAAGAAGAAUGUUUUAAAAGGAAAUAGGGGCACCAAACAUUCCUCAUUAACACUUUUAGUAAGGAAUCGCUUAGGAAUCUAGUGCACUUUUGAAAUUUUGAGAAAAAUCUGAAGUAGAUUAUUUAUCCUAGUAGAAGAUUUUGAUUACUAAGGUAGUGCAGCUGGCAGAAGUUUGGAAGAGACAAGAAUAAGAUUUGGAUUAUCUCAUUUUAUUUUAUAACUAGUAUGUGGGAGGUGUGAUGCUUGUGUAUGUGUUUUCUUAAAAAGUUAUAAAGGUGAUAAAUAAUUAAUAUUAGGACAAAAGUUUGAACCCUUGAUUUAAUGGUUCACAGCCAUAUAUUCUAAGCUAUUGUAGCAUGAGAGAUGGAUUGUUGGAAAACAGACAAGUUGGGAGGCACAAAUAUGCAAAAAGCUAUUUUUGGAACAGAAAAUUGGGGGUGCACGAAUGGAGCCUCUAGAGAAGGGGCACCAAGGAGUUUUGUUUGAAUAAUAGAAUAGGAGUAUUUAAUUUUUAAAGGUUUAUAUGUAGUCGGAUAUCCAGAUUUAGAUCUAGAAAAAAACACUUAAAUCUGGAUAUAUAUUUGGAUUGAGGUAUAUUCUGUGAUCUAUCUUACCUACUUUCAGCCCUAAUUUAGGACAAAAAAUGAUGUACUACUAGUGACUAAGUAAGACAGUCUUAUAAUUUUUCUUUCGUACCAUAUACUAUUUGUGGAACUUUAAUAUGCAAAUUUUUUUUAGAUGUAUGCAUUGUUAGGUUACUGGCACAUUCAUUCUAAGGUGAGACGCAAAAACAACCAUUGUCUUUCAAUAAUGUUGAUUACAUAAUUGCGGGAUGUAAAAUCUUAAAAUCCAUUAUUUUAUUUAAACAUGAGAGGGCAAACCUUGGCGUAAUGGUAAGGUGACUGCAUUGCAACCGAGGUUUCAUAUAUUUGAACUAUAGAAACAACCUCCCAGGGCUUUGUACGUAUGACCCUUCCUAAGCACUGUAGCUAUAGAAGCCUCCUGCACUGCCUCUUCAUUUUAUUUAAACAUGAUGCAAUACAAUUCGGGUUUUGCAAUCUGUGUAGGGAUGAAUCACACUUUAGAGAGAUUAAAUUUACAUAUGGGACAAGCCUUCAUUGAAGAAAAUUAGAGAAGAAGGAUUUGAGCAUUUAUUAUCUUCUGAUGAAACCAUUUUCAGUCUCCAUUUUAGAAACCAAAACUAGUAUAGAAAUACUCCUUGGAGGCCAGGACUUGCUCAUAACUUUGUGAGUAGUACUAGACAUAGAUAAUAAAUGAAAGAAGAGCAAACAAUGGAGAUGUCUGGUUGGCAAGGAGCUAUGACCCUUUAUCUUUCCCUUUUGUGUUCUUUUUUCUUUGUUUUGCCUUCUUUCCAUCUCUCUCUUUUUUCUCCUCCUCCUUUCCUUUUUUAUCUAUUAGGCACCUAAAAUUUGUAGGCUUCUUAAUUUAGUGCUAGUCUUUCCCUAGUUGACAUGAAUAAGUCGGGGGCUUCCUACAACUUAGAAUAAACACUUAAUCCACAUGGUGGCACCGUAAAAUAGACCCAAGCCUUGUUAUCGAUCCAUCAAACAACCUAAAUCUUAGAGUUAAUCCUUUCAAAACAUAAAAUGACCGUAAGAGGUCUGGAUGAAAUAUUGACUCCCAAAGACAAAAGAACAAAUGUAACAGAAAUAGAAACCUCUAAAAGUAAAAUUGCAUCGAUUGAAACUUAAACUAAGGAUGAAUUCAUGAAUAGAAUGUACGAGUAGAUUUCAGUGAAACUAAGGAUGAAUUCAUGAGUGCAAUGUACAAGUAGAUUUUAGUGGAUCAUGAAAGCUAAUGGGAAGACUAGAUCAAUGGCAUUAUUCUAGCUUGGGAUCUCUAUGUUUAUCAAGAAAGCAUCCUCUGAUAAGAUCCGAAAAACUUAGUUUUGGUUUUGGUCCUGAUUUGAUUUAUAGUUUCCACUUUGGCAGUUUUCAUGGUUUGAGACUUUCAGGUAUGCUAACAGUAGAUUUGGUUGAGAAUUGUAAAAAAUCCAACUCAUGUCAAUUAAAAUUACAAAGCUGGAGUAAAGAAAUCCAAAUCCUGUGAACCAAAAUUAUUAAAGCUGCCUUGGUAGUGCAAAAAUUGUCAUUUGGCUGGAGUACGUACUAGCGUGAUAUUUGGUCGUUUGGUUGACAAAUUCCAGCAAUAUUAUUUUUAUAUGCCAGGAUUGAUGACCAACAUGCCUAUUUAUUAUGCAUUUAAUUGCAAGAUAUAUGUCAUGCUCAUAUAUGUGCAUGGUUGGUACUGUCUUUUAUUUGAAAAUUAGAAGUAUGAUCUGUUGGGGAAAUAUGUUAUGCUUGUUUUACUGAUUUUAACUUUUCUUAUAAAUAGUAGCCUGAUGUAGUAGGAAGAAGUUUUUGUACUACAGAAUCUACAAAUAUCACCUUUUUGCCCAAGAUUUUCUUCUAAAGGAGAUUGAGUUGUCAGGGGAAAACUCUUGCUUGAGAGCCUUGAUUUUUCAUUAUUUUUUUUAUAUAGUUUGACCUUCCUUUUCUGUAAAAUAACAAUUACCGAGACGUGUCGUAUAAAACUGAUGUUUGGGCAUUAAUUGCCAGAAGGCAUUGUGAACCAUAACUUUCCCCUUUUUGCAGCAGCAUACUAAUGGGAAAUGUUGUGGUUCAUGGUGCUUCUAGGUUAUUUCGCUUACAUACUGCUAUAUAUAUUAUAUCGUAUUGAAUAUGUGCAUGUUACUAAAAACUUGUUAAUAAUAGUGAUCAUUUAAUUUAGGAAAAUCGAGAACAUUGAAUCUCCAAUUUUUUCCAUAAAAUGGCUGGUAGUUACCACAAUUGCUUUGUUUUAAACUAAAUGUCAGUUUUGUAUGGCAAAGAAUUAUUGAUAGACUAUUAUAAGUUUAUUUAUUACCUUAAUUCUCACACAAUGCCACUGUGGAAAGCUUCUGGAAGAACCUUUUCAUGUUAUUAUGCCAUAUUGAUACUAUGCGUUAUGGUAUUAAUUUCUUUUUGAUAAUGGAGUCCGAUGGAGAGGUUUUUAAAAAUCAUUGCUGUAGUUUUGGGUCUUCUUUCAUGUCUUCUUCUGAUGACUUAUCUUUCUUUCGUUCUAACUAUAUUUCCUCUAUUCUAUUUUUAGGGUACACAUUAAAACAUUAUGCACGAGGAAUACUUGGAAUCUUGCGGUCUUGUUGCAAAUGUCGAUCAAAAUUCUAGGGCUAAGAUAUGGAGAGGUAGACCCCCAGAUUUUAUUGGUGGCACCCUUCAAUCGGAUGCAUAUUUAAAGCUCAGAGUCCGAUCCCUAUGCACCAAUUUUUCAAGUAGCAAGGUUUGGCAAUUAGCAUAGAACUUAUUUUCCUUCUACUAUAUCUUAAGAAUUUGAAAAAGGAUUUUAUUGCUAGCUUUGCAUGUUUGAUAUCUAGUAGUCAAAUUCAUAAGCCAUGGAUAAGAAUCCACCGGAAUAAAGUGGGUUACUAUUUGAUGUUUAUAAUUUAAAAAUUGUUAUAAUACAUACAUACAUCUAUAUAUAUAU